GGGAACCUUAAAGCCAGAUGACAGCAGGGACUCUCUCUGGUGUGCUGCUCCAUUUUCAAGAAGUACUAAAGCAAAUGCAUGACCAGACUGAAGGAUGCCUGACUUUCCAUAUCUGAUGACUUCUAGAAGAGAGGAGAGUGAGACAGGAGGCCGGUGGAGGAUCUCCAACAGGCACCCAGUCUUGCCCUGUGUGAAACUGCAGGCGAACCCAACCCCCGCUGUCUGCAGGCAGGCUUCUCCCAUGGACCGCGCACCACCGGACACCAUAGGAGUCCUGUGGCGAUUCCACUGUCUCUGUCUUCCCAGCCCUGGCUGCAGUUUUGGACCAGGAGGCAAACACAGCAUCUGGGGCUGAAGUUGUCACAACCACGGUUUCGUGGUCACUUCUGAAAUGACCCUGGGCCCAAGCGCAGUGGUCCUAUUUUUGCUGCAGGUUUACUAUGUGAUCCUGGGCACAUCAUGUCACCCCCUUGCACCCCCCCCCAGGCUCUGUCAUGCUAUCACAUGAAUA